UACGUAGGGGGCAAGCGUUGUCCGGACUUAUUGGGCGUAAAGCGCGUGUAGGCGGCAAGGUGUGUCGUGCGUGAAAUCUCCCGGCUUAACUGGGAGGGGCCGUGCGAAACUGCCUCGCUUGAGGUCGGAAGGGGAAAGUGGAAUUCCGGGUGUAGUGGUGGAAUACGUAGAUAUCCGGAGGAACACCAGCGGCGAAGGCGGCUUUCUGGUCCGAUACUGACGCUGAGACGCGAAAGCGUGGGGAGCGAUCCGG
rnacentral:rRNA from 1 species